CGCAUGGGGCCCAACCGUCAUCUCCUAGCUCCGGCCAGAAUCCUCCUCACGCAGGAGACCUCCUGUGUCCCUGAUCCAAAUUCAAUUGAUUUGAUCGAUCUACUUCUCCUAGACCACAAUACGCAGCAUAUCUUUAUUCACCUCCCUCCUCUCGUCCGAUUUUCGCAAGAAUCACCAAAUCACCUGCCCUAUCUCUCUGUCUACCUCAGUUUCGGAUCUCGCCGGAGUCCGCCUGAGCAGAAGCUCCGCCACUGUCGAAUUUGACGCUACCGAAGGAGCAGCCAAGCGAGCUCGUGACCCCGAAGGGAAGCACAUCACUGUCGUGCCAACGUUGGAGCACCACCGCCAACAGAGGACUCCCUCAUCGCCGCUGACGACACCAUCGUAGACCCGACGUGCGCCUCAUCCUCCAGUGGCUUCUUCAUCGCCCGAGACCCCCCUUCAGCCGUCGCCGCAUCACCACCGAGCUGCCCGCAAUCUGCUUCUCCAACUCCAGCAGCCUCUCUCUGUUGUGUCUCCGAUUGUCCGAAGAGCGAAUAUUAGCGUUGCCAGGAUUGUGAGUGCGUCUGACUACAACAACAAUGUAUAACGCAAGUUACACCUUGAUCAUCCUUUACCCUAUUUUUUUCAA